AUUACUCAGACCAAGUCCAACAUUGAAUGGAUGCGGGUGAACUAUCCAGUCGUAAAACAGUGGCUGGAGAGCCUGAGGUCACGUCAAGGUCAGGGUCUCCAUCUCAGGUCAAGAUAAAUGAUUCAAGAUCACCAGCACAAUCUCAGCUCUCCGUGUGUUCGUGUCACGGUACAGUGCUUAACAAUGACGAACAGGCUUCCCGGACACAGAAAGUGAAGAUUGUCUUUGUGAUGAAUCAGUUUGAUAUUGUUAUGAAAUGAAAAUUCUAAUUUCGGAUGGAUUUAUGUUUCCUGUUAGAUAAUGCCAAACAAAGCGAUGAAGACAACAAAGUUAUUUGAUAUAAAUUCUAAAAUAGCUGAA